UACGGAGGGUGCUAGCGUUGUUCGGAAUCACUGGGCGUAAAGGGCGCGUAGGCGGCCUCAGGUGUCGGAUGUGAAAGCCCGGGGCUCAACCCCGGAGGUGCAUCCGAAACUCUGGGGCUGGAGGUCGGAAGAGGAGGGUGGAAUACCCAGUGUAGAGGUGAAAUUCGUAGAUAUUGGGUGGAACACCGGUGGCGAAAGCGGCUCUCUGGUCCGGACCUGACGCUGAGGCGCGAAAGCGUGGGGAGCAAACAGG
rnacentral:rRNA from 1 species